UGGGGAAUAUUGCGCAAUGGGGGAAACCCUGACGCAGCAACGCCGCGUGAGUGAUGAAGGUCCUCGGAUCGUAAAGCUCUGUCGGCAGGAACGAGGGUUUUGUUGGCUAAUAUCCAGCGAAACUGACGGUACCUGCAAAGGAAGCACCGGCUAACUCUGUGCCAGCAGCCGCGGUAAUACAGAGGGUGCAAGCGUUGUUCGGAAUUAUUGGGCGUAAAGGGCGCGUAGGCGGUGAGUUAAGUCAGAUGUGAAAGCCCAGGGCUCAACCUUGGAAGUGCAUCUGAAACUGGCUCACUUGAAUCUCGGAGAGGGUGGUGGAAUUCCCAGUGUAGAGGUGAAAUUCGUAGAUAUUGGGAGGAACAUCGGUGGCGAAGGCGACCGCCUGGACGAAGAUUGACGCUGAGGCGCGAAAGCGUGGGGAGCAAACAG
rnacentral:rRNA from 1 species